rnacentral:rRNA from 1 species
UACGAAGGGGGCUAGCGUUGCUCGGAAUCACUGGGCGUAAAGGGUGCGUAGGCGGGUCUUAAGUCAGGGGUGAAAUCCUGGAGCUCAACUCCAGAACUGCCUUUGAUACUGAAGAUCUUGAGUUCGGGAGAGGUGAGUGGAACUGCGAGUGUAGAGGUGAAAUUCGUAGAUAUUCGCAAGAACACCAGUGGCGAAGGCGGCUCACUGGCCCGGUACUGACGCUGAGGUGCGAAGGCCAGGGGAGCAAAGCGGG